rnacentral:rRNA from 1 species
CCUACGGGAGGCAGCAGUGGGGAAUUUUCCGCAAUGGGCGCAAGCCUGACGGAGCAAGACCGCGUGGGGGAGGAAGGCUCUUGGGUUGUAAACCCCUUUUCUCAGGGAAGAACACAAUGACGGUACCUGAGGAAUCAGCCUCGGCUAACUCCGUGCCAGCAGCCGCGGUAAUACGGAGGAGGCAAGCGUUAUCCGGAAUUAUUGGGCGUAAAGCGUCCGCAGGUGGUGGGGCAAGUCGGCGGUUAAAGACUGGGGCUUAACUCCAGAAAGGCCGUGGAAACUGCACCACUAGAGGGCAGUAGGGGUAGAGGGAAUUCCCGGUGUAGCGGUGAAAUGCGUAGAGAUCGGGAAGAACACCAGUGGCGAAAGCGCUCUACUGGACUGCAACUGACACUCAGGGACGAAAGCUAGGGGAGCGAAUGGGAUUAGAUACCCUGGUAGUC